UUUUUUUUUUUUUUUUAGUUAAAACAAUACAAAAAACCCUAUCUGUACCCUCUGAAAUCUGUGGAAAAAACCCAAUUUCUUUGCAUGCUGAUCUCUGCUGCCUCAUCAGACACAGCUGGCCAGGUGAAGUGUCCUUCUAUAGGGCCAUAAGCAUCAUGACACAAGUGUCAAUCUCAAUACUACCAAUGUCUUGCACCAACACCAGGACUUAAAAAAAUUAAAAUAUCAGAUAAUGUUGGCUUGUCUUGCACUUGCCAGGAAACUGAUAAUAAGUCUCAAAACCCAGCAGCACCACCAGGUUCAGCUCCAUGAGUAGUUGCAGCCAUAGGACAGACAGCUUUCCUGUACCAACCACUUUAAGCAUGCACAGCUUUAUUUGUGAUCCUGGAAGAAAUGCACAUCUCCUUCACUGCCACAUAAACAUAUAGUGACCCAUCUUUCUAAAAACCAACUUGACAGUUCUACAUUUUUGUACAACUGAACAAUAGGUUCCCAUUUCAGUGAGGCCUUCUCUUUUGGUCACCCCUCAAUAAUAAACCUUUUGAUUAGAAAAUCACUCGCACACCAGGAACAUUUUGAAAGGACUAAAGAGAUGCCACACUGUAAGGAGGGUCCAAAGAAAAUCUCAAAAGACCUAUCUCUUUUUUCCCAUUGACUGUGUGGCAGGAGCCCUGAUUUACACCUCUCUACCUGUUCAAGUGACAAAGGUCAACAAAAAAUUUCCAAAACGGAAACAAAGCUUUAAUUUUAGAUACUACAUUUCCAGAGAUGAGGCCAACAAUGUGACAAGAUAGUAUGCUGGUAUGAAGGUGGAUAUUAUUGUGAAAUGGGUGGGAGGUCAAAAAGCAAUCCCUGGGCUACAGACAGGAGGUGACCAGUAGCGCAGGUUCCAUAUCCCUGUGCCAGAAAAGCCAAACCAAAACAUAAAUCCUCACGUGCCUUUGCGCACGUGCUGCAAACCAAGGUGUGGGAGUCCUAAAGGGGCCAUGCCACUGCUGGUGUCACACUGCAGACAGGACCUAAGGUCUGCCAAGAGAGCUGCUACCUCCAUUGUAAAGACAGCUUGCCAGAUGUUUUUAUUUAAAAACCAAAAAUUAUACACUUUCUAGAGGAAAAAAAAAAAGAGAGAGAGAGAGAAAAAGAAGAGAGUCAAAUCUAAUUGACAUAACAAAAAAAAUGGAGUACUGUGUUUCCAGGAGGGUCUAAAUAAAAAGACACCCUGAAAACCUCAUGUGAAACAGCUCUGAGGAUUUAGAGGUUUCUCAUGCAUUGUAUUGUAAAACAGCAGCUCAUUCUUUUCAGAGCAGCAGAGGUAAGAGCACACAAAUGAUUAAACAAGCAGGUUUAACUAUCUUGCACUGAUGAGGAAUUUGUCAACAUGGGCUUGGUAUUUAUGCAGCUCUGCAGCAAAUACUGUGCGGCUGCAGGAGUCAAACAGCUGUCUGUCAAUAAAGCUAUUCUCCUCGCUGGAACAUAAUAGCACAGACUCAACAUGACCCUCAGAGGCCUCUUUAAGCUGCCUGGCUGUCUCCUCCUUCCCUAUCCCUCCAGAGUCCUUCACCAGCAAGCUCUGAAUUAAAAGGGAGAGGGAAAAAAAAAAAAAAAAA
rnacentral:lncRNA from 1 species